UUUUAUGCCAACUGCGAGGGAAUAAACAGUCUCAUCAGCCCAUCUGCAGCUGUGCCUUUGCCACCUUCUGCCCCCAAGGAGGCCUUUGUACAACUGUCACCCUCAGGAACCUAUGAAAAGCAUUUUUCAUCCCAGACUUGGCCCCAGGUGGACGCACCUUUUCCCUUAUAUUUCACCUCAUGGAACUCCUCUCCCUCUGGUCCAGGGCAGGACCUUCGCACAGUCCAUUCUGCCACACAAGCACCUUUAUGAAGCCAGAAGGAAAAGCCAGGAUGCGCGUGAUGAGUAGCUAUCACAGCCAUUGGUUUUAGAGAAAUAGAGAAGAGGAAAACUUUGAAGAAAUUCUGCCCAUUAACUACAUCUGCUAAUUGAGAAAAGUCCAGUUUUCAACUGUAGCUGUGAGACUCCUCAAUCUUGCUUGGGAAAAAAUAAUGGCCUGUGAGAGGAAGGUCCCCAUCGGCUUCAGUUAAUCUAAUGUUCUAUGUUUUUACUGUAUUUCUGCUGUCCAACAAUAGUUAGCCUUACUCCACACUUCAAUGGGGUCGAAGAGCCACAGUGGCCCAUACUUCAAUGGCCUCUGAGAGCCAAAAGCACUUUCUAUAUCAUCUAGUCAAAUACCUAAUUUCCAGAUAAAGCAAGCCAGGCCUAGAGAGGUUCCAGGAUUUUCCUAAACUCACCUAGCUACUUAGUGGCCAGGCCAUGGUUAGAACCUGGGUCUCCUGGUGUACUCUGUGUUUUUCAAUCCUACAUGGUUGCCUGACAAUAAAUGCACACAUAGUUAAUUCUCUAGUAAUGUGUGAUUUGUGUGGGUCAGAUUUUCUGCACUGUGGCUGCUGACAAACAUGAUCAUGCCAAGCAGGCCACAAAAGUGGUGAAGAUUGUGUACCAAGACGUGGAGCCUAUAAUUGUGAACAUUCAGAUCUGGCUGCCCAAUCCAUUUUAUUCUAGAACAUGGGGACAACAUGUUGAUAACUGGAGGAUGGCACCCACUACCUGGGACAUAUAAGAAUACCUGCCGGACCCUCGUGGAAUGCCUUGAACCUAUUAUCAGAUGGAGUACUAGUGGCACCUGGGAGAAGUGGGCUAAUGAAGCUUUUGCUCAAAGCACUAGUUUGUCUGCCACUGGAUAUUUUAGGACUGACAAUAGGCGCUGGCUGCAGCCUGGCCCAGAUGCAGGACAUCUUGGCUGAGAGGGUAGCUGAGCUCCCAGAGGAGAAAACACAGACGUACUGAGCCCUCCUGAAGCACCUGAGGAGUCUGGCAGGCCAGCAGAUCCGGAAUAUGGCGUCCUUAGGGGGGCAUGUGAGAAGCCGGCAUUGCUAUUCGGACCUGAAUCCAAUUCUUGCUGUGGGCAAUGCUACCCUCAAUCUGAUUUCAGCAGGUACGCGGCGGAUUCCUCUAAAUGAACAUUUUCUUGCUGGGUUGGCAAGUGCAGACCUUAAGCCAGAGGAAAUUUUGGAAUCUGUGCAUAUCCCGCACUCUCAAAAGUGGGAAUUUGUGUCAGCCUUCCGACAGGCUCAAUGCCAGCAGAAUGCCUUGCCCCACGUGAAUGCCGGCAUGCGAGUCCUUCUCAAAGAAGGCACAGACAGCAUUGAGGACCUGAGCAUCGCCUAUGGAGGGGUGGGGGCUGCCACCAUCAGUGCACACAGAUCCUGCUAGCAACUCCUUGGGAGGUGCUGGAAUGAGCUGUUGCUGGAUGAGGCUUGCAGGCUGCUUCUGGAUGAAGUCUCGCUCCCAGGCUCAGCCCCGGGUGGCCGGGUGGAAUUCAAGAGGAUGAGGACCCUAGUCGUCAGCUUCCUCUUCAAAUUCUACUUAGAGGUUCUGCAGGAACUGAAGAAGCUGGUGAAGCUAGUCUCUGUGCCUGACAGCCGUCAUCAUUCUGAAAUUUCAGACCAAUUCCUAAGCGCUCUCGAAGAUUUCCCAGUCACAAUACCCCAGGGAGUCCAAACGUACCAGAGUGUGGAUCCUCACCAGCCUCUCCAAGACCCAGUUGGACACCCUAUCAUGCACCUGUCAGCUCUUAAACAUGCCACUGGGGAAGCCAUGUUUUGUGAUGACAUUCCCAUGGUGGAUAAAGAACUUUUCAUGGCUUUGGUGACCAGUAGCAGGGCUCAUGCAAAAAUCAUAUCAAUUGAUGUGUCCAAGGCCCUUGAACUACCCGAAGUGGUUGAUGUGAUAACAGCUGAAGACAUUCCAGGCACCAAUGGCGCUGAAGGUGACAAAUUGCUGGCUGUAGAUAAGGUAGUCUGUGUGGGCCAGAUCAUCUGUGCUGUGGUUGCAGAAACAGACGUACAGGCAAAACGAGCAGCUGAAAAGAUAAAGCUCACCUAUGAAGAUCUGGAACCUGUAAUCUUCACGAUCAAGGAUGCCAUAAAACACAAUUCAUUCCUGUGCCGUGAAAAAAAAACUUGAAAAAGGAAACGUUGAGGAGGCCUUUGAAAAAGUCGACCAAAUUGUUGAAGGAGAGGUCCAUGUUGGAGGACAGGAACAUUUUUACAUGGAAACACAAAGAGUGCUUGUUAUUCCAAAGACAGAGGACAAAGAACUGGACAUUUAUGUGUCCACACAGGACCCAGCCCACGUGCAGAAAACAGUGUCCUCUACUUUAAACAUCCCCAUCAACAGGAUCACCUGUCAUGUAAAACGAGUGGGUGGAGGUUUUGGAGGGAAGGUAGGAAAGCCAGCUGUAUUCGGGGCUAUUGCAGCUGUGGGUGCUAUCAAAACUGGUCACCCCAUUCGUCUCAUCCUUGAUCGUGAAGAUGAUAUGCUAAUAACUGGAGGAAGGCAUCCAUUAUUUGGAAAAUAUAAAGUAGGAUUCAUGAACAACGGGCGGAUCAAAGCUCUAGACAUUGAGUGCUACAUUAACGGAGGAUGCACGCUGGAUGACUCUGAGCUGGUAACAGAAUUUCUAAUACUAAAGCUGGAAAAUGCAUAUAAAAUUCGCAACCUGUUCAGGUUCCAGGGCCGUGCAUGCAUGACAAAUUUACCAUCCAAUACGGCCUUUCGUGGAUUUGGCUUCCCACAAGGAGCCCUAGUAACAGAAUCUUGCAUCACAGCUGUGGCAGCCAAAUGUGGCCUUCCACCAGAAAAGAUAUGUAGAUAAACAUAUCUACAGAUAUGUAGAUAAAACCAUCUACAAACAAGCAUUCAACCCUGAGACCCUGAUAAGAUGUUGGAAUGAGUGUCUAGACAAGUCUUCCUUUCACAGCAGAAGAAUGCAAGUCGAAGAGUUCAAUAAGAAGAAUUAUUGGAAGAAGAAAGGCAUUGCUAUUAUUCCCAUGAAGUUUUCAGUUGGCUUUGCUGCAACAAGCUACCAUCAGGCAGCUGCACUGGUUCAUAUCUACACAGAUGGGUCUGUGUUGGUCACACAUGGAAGCAAUGAACUGGGACAAGGUAUUCACACCAAAAUGCUACAGCCAUGAGCUAAAAAUACCCAUGUCCUAUAUGCACAUCUGUGAAACGAGCACAGCAACAGUGCCCAAUACAAUUGCUACAGCAGCGUCUAUCGGUGCAGAUGUCAACGGCAGAGCUGUGCAGAAUGCUUGUCAGAUCCUUCUGAAACGCCUUGAGCCCAUCAUUAAGAAACAUCCGGAAGGUAAAUGGGAAGACUGGAUAGAAGCUGCAUUUGAACAAAGAAUCAGUCUCUCAGCCACUGGAUACUUCAGGGGCUACAAGGCCUUCAUGGACUGGGAGAAGGGGGUGGGGGACCCAUUUCCUUACUAUGUCUGCAGAGCUGCCUGUUCUGAGGUUGAAAUUGACUGCCUGACAGGUGCUCACAAGAAAAUCAGAACGGACAUCAUCAUGGAUGCAUGUUGCAGCCUAAAUCCAGCCAUUGAUAUUGGGCAGAUUGAAGGUUUGUUUAUUCAGGGAAUGGGGCUUUAUACCACUGAAGAACUGAAAUAUUCCCCAGAAGGUGUCCUGUACUCUCGGAGCCCAGAUGAGUACAAAAUUCCAACCAUCACUGAUGUCCCAGAGGAGUUCAAUGUCUCCUUGCUGCCAUCAUCACAAACCCCACUAACCAUCUAUUCGUCUAAGGGCCUCGGGGAGUCUGGGAUGUUCCUGGGGUCAUCUGUGUUCUUUGCCAUUGCUGACGCUGUGGCCGCAGUGCGAAGAGAAAGAGACAUAGCUGAGGACUUCACGGUGAAGAGCCCAGCAACGCCAGAAUGGGUUCGAAUGGCCUGUGCAGAUCGAUUCACAGAAAUGAUCCCAAGAGAUGACCCUGAGACAUUUAAACCUUGGUCUAUCCCUAUAGCAUAACACUGCUAUCAUUCCCUAAAAGGUGUUUCAGUUUUUCACAAGUAAAAAGAUGGCUUGUUAAUCCUAACUGGGUUCCAAACUUAUAUUCUUAUACUGUUGUAGAAAAAAAUAGACACAAAAUUUAGAAACGUUAUCCAACUUUGAUUAUGUUAACCCAAUGAAUCAUUAUUUGCAAAGCAUUUCACUUAGACUUUCCAGCCUAGAGGCCACCAGAAAAGCACUGCUGUAUCCACAGUAAGCAAGUUUAGUGCUGAUUUGUUUCUGAAAAGAUCACGUAAAUGUUGCUGUAAAAGCAAACUUUUCCUUUCUGUGUCCAUCCAAUCUAAAUGGGCUGGUAAUACAGGUUAUGAUUAUAGAAUGAAAGACACUUCUUGGUAGAUAAAUAUAUGAUGACUUUUCCCAGGGGUGUAUUUGAUUCAGUAGCCACAAGAGAGUUCUGCAGGUUUUGUUUUGCCAUGGAUUGACCAUAAGUCUAUGUACGUGCAUUUGACAGCAAAGGAGUGGUAUUUCCCUCAUGCACAUCUACUAUUCAACUGAUUAACAUUCUUUUGGAUUUGGAGGAGGGGAAAAAGCAAUAUAAAAACAUUUUCAAUAUCUUGCCCCCAACCCCUCUGUGUUGUUGUUGCUGUUGUUGAAAAACAUCCAAUCUGGUAUCAGAGUUUAAGAAAUAUUGCAUAUUUCAGUUUCCCAUAGAUUGAAGUGAGAACAUAAAGCAAAAGAAUUAUAAAUUGUAAUUACCCCCUACAUUGUGGUUUAAAAUAUGCAAGAUCCUCUCUACCAAUAACUUUGAGAAGGAAAAAC